rnacentral:tRNA from 1 species
GGUUAGCUCAGUUGGUAGAGCAUCUCAUUUACACUGAGAGGGUCAGAGGUUCGAAUCCUCUACCACCCA